AGAGUUUGAUCAUGGCUCAGAACGUACGCUGGCGGCACGCCUAACACAUGCAAGUCGAACGAAGUAGCAAUACUUAGUGGCAGACGGGUGAGUAACAUGUAGGUAUCUGCCCUAUGGCCUGGAAUAACACGAGGAAACUUGUGCUAAUACCGGAUAAGUCUUUACGGAGAAAGCUUUAUGCACCAUUGGAUGAGCCUGCACUUGAUUAGUUUGUUGGUGGGGUAAUGGCCUACCAAGACUGUGAUCAAUAGCUGAUUUGAGAGGAUGAUCAGCCACAUUGGGACUGAGACACGGCCCAAACUCCUACGGGAGGCAGCAGUGGGGAAUCUUGCACAAUGGAGGAAACUCUGAUGCAGCGAUGCCGCGUGAGUGAAGAAGGCCUUUGGGUUGUAAAGCUCUUUCGUCGGGGAAGAAAAUGACUGUACCCGAAUAAGAAGGUCCGGCUAACUUCGUGCCAGCAGCCGCGGUAAUACGAAGGGACCUAGCGUAGUUCGGAAUUACUGGGCUUAAAGAGUUCGUAGGUGGUUAAAAAAGUUGGUGGUGAAAUCCCAGAGCUUAACUCUGGAACUGCCAUCAAAACUUUUUAGCUAGAGUAUGAUAGAGGAAAGCAGAAUUUCUAGUGUAGAGGUGAAAUUCGUAGAUAUUAGAAAGAAUACCAAUUGCGAAGGCAGCUUUCUGGAUCAUUACUGACACUUAGGAACGAAAGCAUGGGUAGCGAAGAGGAUUAGAUACCCUCGUAGUCCAUGCCGUAAACGAUGUGUGUUAGACGUUGGAAAUUUAUUUUCAGUGUCGCAGCGAAAGCGAUAAACACACCGCCUGGGGAGUACGACCGCAAGGUUAAAACUCAAAUGAAUUGACGGGGACCCGCACAAGUAGUGGAGCAUGUGGUUUAAUUCGAAGAUACGCGCAGAACCUUACCAACACUUGACAUGUUCGUCGCGACUUUAAGAGAUUAAAGUUUUCGGUUCGGCCGGACGAAACACAGGUGCUGCAUGGCUGUCGUCAGCUCGUGUCGUGAGAUGUUGGGUUAAGUCCCGCAACGAGCGCAACCCUCACUUUUAGUUGCCAUCAUUUAGUUGGGCACUCUGAAAGAACUGCCAGUGAUAAGCUGGAGGAAGGUGGGGAUGACGUCAAGUCCUCAUGGCCCUUACGUGUUGGGCUACACACGUGCUACAAUGGUAUCUACAACAGGAAGCAAGACGGCGACGUUAAGCAAAUCCUUAAAAGAUACCUCAGUUCGGAUUGCACUCUGCAACUCGAGUGCAUGAAGCUGGAAUUACUAGUAAUCGUGGAUCAGCGUGCCACGGUGAAUGCGUUCCCGGGUCUUGUACACACCGCCCGUCACACCAUGGGAGUUGGUUCUACCUUAAGGCAAGGUUUAAAACCCUUGACCACGGUAUAGUCAGCGACUGGGGUGAAGUCGUAACAAGGUAACCGUA
rnacentral:rRNA from 1 species